rnacentral:tmRNA from 2 species
GGGGGUGAUUCUGGUUUCGACUGGUUGCACCUAGUCCUAGGAGCAUGUCGAGUAGCGAAUUCUCGUAAAACAGUCGUAUAAAUAUAGUCGCAAACGACGAAACCUACGCUUUAGCAGCUUAAUAACCUGCUUGAAGCCCUCGGUUCUAAGCCUUUCUAGUGACGCUUAGUUAUUCCGGGGUCGGUUCUUCACUAGAUCGUGUGGAAGCCCCGUCUGAGGUUGAAACAUUAAAUCUUUUUAUCAGACUGGGUAUCUUGUGGCGUGGCGGUCCGCAGCGGGUACUAAGAUCAAAGAUUGCCUAAACAUGUAGUGCCGAAGAUGAAGUCAAUUGGGACGCGGGUUCGAGUCCCGCCACCUCCACCA